rnacentral:lncRNA from 1 species
CACCUCCAAAACCUAAAAAUCUACAAAACCCUCAAAUUGAAGGCCAAAAUUCAGUUGAAAUCGAAAUCUAAACAUAGAAUCGUGAUCUCCUCGUCAAGAAGGUCAUAAGGUUGAGCUUGAUUAUGUGUUGUAAAACAUGAAAUUGGAAGCAAGGAAUCCGGGACGUCAAGUGGACACGCCGGAGGUGAUACCCGCGGAAAAGGUGUGCUUUGAAGGUACGCGACUUUAG